UACCAGCACCCCGAGUGGUCGGGACGAUUAUUGGGCCUAAAGCAUCCGUAGCCGGUUCUGCAAGUCCCCCGUUAAAUCCAGCUGCUCAACAGAUGGGCCGCGGAGGAUACUACAGAGCUAGGAGGCAGGAGAGGCAAGCGGUACUCAGUGGGUAGGGGUAAAAUCCGUUGAUCCAUUGAAGACCACCAGUGGCGAAGGCGGCUUGCCAGAAUGCGCUCGACGGUGAGGGAUGAAAGCUGGGGGAGCAAACGG
rnacentral:rRNA from 1 species